GCCGCGAAUUCGCCCUUAGGGUUUGAUUAUGGCUCAGGACGAACGCUGGCGGCGUGCCUAAUACAUGCAAGUCGAACGCUUCUUUCCUCCCGAGUGCUUGCACUCAAUUGGAAAGAGGAGUGGCGGACGGGUGAGUAACACGUGGGUAACCUACCCAUCAGAGGGGGAUAACACUUGGAAACAGGUGCUAAUACCGCAUAACAGUUUAUGCCGCAUGGCAUAAGAGUGAAAGGCUCUUUCGGGUGUCACUGAUGGAUGGACCCGCGGUGCAUUAGCUAGUUGGUGAGGUAACGGCUCACCAAGGCCACGAUGCAUAGCCGACCUGAGAGGGUGAUCGGCCACACUGGGACUGAGACACGGCCCAGACUCCUACGGGAGGCAGCAGUAGGGAAUCUUCGGCAAUGGACGAAAGUCUGACCGAGCAACGCCGCGUGAGUGAAGAAGGUUUUCGGAUCGUAAAACUCUGUUGUUAGAGAAGAACAAGGACGUUAGUAACUGAACGUCCCCUGACGGUAUCUAACCAGAAAGCCACGGCUAACUACGUGCCAGCAGCCGCGGUAAUACGUAGGUGGCAAGCGUUGUCCGGAUUUAUUGGGCGUAAAGCGAGCGCAGGCGGUUUCUUAAGUCUGAUGUGAAAGCCCCCGGCUCAACCGGGGAGGGUCAUUGGAAACUGGGAGACUUGAGUGCAGAAGAGGAGAGUGGAAUUCCAUGUGUA
rnacentral:rRNA from 1 species